rnacentral:rRNA from 1 species
CAGCGCCACAAGUGGCAAUCACGUUUAUUGGGCCUAAAGCGUCCGUAGCCGGUUUAGCAAAUCUUUUGUGAAAUCGUCAGGCUUAACUUGACGAAUUGCAGAAGACACUACUAAACUAGGGACUGGGAGGAGUCAGAAGUAUUCUGGGGGGACCGGUAAAAUGGUAUAAUCCCUGGAGGACUACCGAUGGCGAAGGCAUCUGACCAGAACGGAUCCGACGGUGAGGGACGAAAGCCAGGGGAGCAAACCGGAUUAGAUACCCGAGUAGUCC